CAGGAAGGGAGCUGGGAGAGGACACGCAGGGCGCGGCUCGGGCCCCCCCAAGGCGCCAGCAGCCCAGACAGUCCGGGUUGCAGGGACGGGCGAGGGGACCCUCUCCCGCCGUGUGUGCACAGUCCCCCGGCCAAGGCCUUUACCUGGGCCCAAGACGCGGGUCCGCCGGCACGCCAGGGUUCCGGACGCGGGGGCCCCCUACGCUCCAUUCCCAGCCUCCAGGCAUUUCCCCUGGCUGUGCCCCACACCAGGAAUGCUCUCCCUCACCUCAGCCCCCAGGGCUCUCCAUCCACCUUCAAGACUCCGCUGUGAUGGCACGUUGUGCCAGAAGCCUUUGCCGUUCCCGUAGUCUUCCCCACCAGAAUGCGAAUUCCAGUAGGGCUUGGCUUGGUUCUGACUCUCCUCGUGUCCCCAGCACUUAGCCCAUUGCCUAGCAGAGAAGCGCACCCACCGCCCAAGUUUCUUGACUGGACAUAGAGGCUCUGUGACCUCGGACACCAUGGAGGUAGCCAACAAGCCAGGCCUGGAGCCCAAGGGGCCACGAGUUCAAAUGAAGCCUCUGACCCAGGACUCCCUAAGAACAAGCCAAGGUCGGGCUCUAGAUGGCCCGAGCACCUGGGGAGAGGUGCUCCACACGCUGCUCAGGGGACAGGUUCUUCACAGUGGAGAUGUACUCAGCUGCCAGGAUGUCGAUCUCGG